rnacentral:lncRNA from 1 species
GGGAUAAUCUUUCUAAAAAAGAACUUUCUAAAGAAAAGACAAAAAUAAAAGAUUUCUUUUAAUAUGAAAUGGAUAUUUCCGUAUCUUUUCUUUCCGUAUAUUUCAGACUUAUAUUUAUAAGAUGAUAAAAUAUGACGAAAGCUAUACCAAGAAUCGGUUCACGUAGGAAUGGGCGUAUUGGUUCACGUAAGAAUGGACGUAGAAUACCAAAAGGAAUUAUUCACGUUCAAGCAAGUUUCAACAAUACCAUUGUAACUGUUAUNNNN